rnacentral:rRNA from 1 species
UGAGCUUGAUGAGUAGGGCGGGACACGUGGUAUCCUGUCUGAAUAUGGGGGGACCAUCCUCCAAGGCUAAAUACUCCUGACUGACCGAUAGUGAACCAGUACCGUGAGGGAAAGGCGAAAAGAACCCCGGCGAGGGGAGUGAAAAAGAACCUGAAACCGUGUACGUACAAGCAGUGGGAGCACGCUUAGGCGUGUGACUGCGUACCUUUUGUAUAAUGGGUCAGCGACUUAUAUUCUGUAGCAAGGUUAACCGAAUAGGGGAGCCGAAGGGAAACCGAGUCUUAACUGGGCGUUAAGUUGCAGGGUAUAGACCCGAAACCCGGUGAUCUAGCCAUGGGCAGGUUGAAGGUUGGGUAACACUAACUGGAGGACCGAACCGACUAAUGUUGAAAAAUUAGCGGAUGACUUGUGGCUGGGGGUGAAAGGCCAAUCAAACCGGGAGAUAGCUGGUUCUCCCCGAAAGCUAUUUAGGUAGCGCCUCGUGAAUUCAUCUCCGGGGGUAGAGCACUGUUUCGGCAAGGGGGUCAUCCCGACUUACCAACCCGAUGCAAACUGCGAAUACCGGAGAA